ACAUGUCCUUUAGGAUUGAAUUUAAGGUCUAGCCUGCCCACUGAGUUAUUAAAUGGCCGCAGUAUUUUAACUGUGCAAAGGUAGCAUAAUCAUUAGUCUUUUAAUUGAAGGCUUGUAUGAAUGGUUGGACAAAAUAUAUAUUGUUUCAUGUAAAUUAAUAGAAUUUUAUUUUUUAGUUAAAAAGCUGAAAUUUAAUUAAAAGACGAGAAGACCCUAUAGAUCUUUAUAGUUGUUGAGUUUAAUUUAUGAAGAAUGGUUUAUUUUUAAUUUAUUUAACUAUUUUAUUGGGGUGAUAGUAAGAUUUAUUUAACUCUUGUGUGAUUUAAUACAUAAAUUAAUGAUUAGUUGAUCCAGUAUUAUUGAUUAGUAAAAUAAGUUACCUUAGGGAUAACAGCGUAAUUUUUUUAGAGAGUUCAUAUCGAUAAAAAAGAUUGCGACCUCGAUGUUGGAUUAAGAGAUAAGUUUGGGCGCAGCCGUUCAAAUUUAAAGUCUGUUCGACUUUUUGAUUCUUACAUGAUCUG
rnacentral:rRNA from 1 species